rnacentral:rRNA from 1 species
AUGAACGCUGGCGGCGUGCCUAACACAUGCAAGUCGAACGGAGAUUUAACGCUGAUGAGGCUUCGGCGGAUUCUGUUAAAUCUUAGUGGCGGACGGGUGAGUAACGCGUGGGCAACCUGCCUCAUACUGGGGGAUAGCAGUUGGAAACGACUGAUAAUACCGCAUAAGCGCACGGAGUCGCAUGACUCAGUGUGAAAAACUCCGGUGGUAUGAGAUGGGCCCGCGUCAGAUUAGCUAGUUGGUAAGGUAACGGCUUACCAAGGCGACGAUCUGUAGCCGGACUGAGAGGUCGGACGGCCACAUUGGGACUGAGACACGGCCCAAACUCCUACGGGAGGCAGCAGUGGGGGAUAUUGCACAAUGGAGGAAACUCUGAUGCAGCGACGCCGCGUGAGUGAAGAAGUAUUUCGGUAUGUAAAGCUCUAUCAGCAGGGAAGAAAGACUCGCAAGAGAGAUGACGGUACCUGACUAAGAAGCCCCGGCUAACUACGUGCCAGCCGCUGC